rnacentral:tRNA from 1 species
GGGCUGGUAGCUCAGCUAGGUAGAGCAGCGGGCUCUUAACCCGUCGGUCGAGGGUUCAAAUCCCUUCCAGCCCG